CUCUUCUCGCUCAACAGAUUUACUUGACAACUUGGCUUGCAGAUGUAAACAUUGAGACUCAUAGGGUGGAUGAGAUAAUUGCUUUGGUAGGGGAAGAAAUUAGAGUUGCCUUCUAAACCUCAAAAUCUGUUCCUAAGUUCAGCUUCUGGUUAAGUUUUCACCGACUUUAAAGCAUGACUGAUUCGACAUAGUACUCAAUGACGUGAGAAAGAUGUCUUAGAAUCUUAGCUGUGUAUCAACAAUAUUGCCACUUAUUGCUAUGUUAUGUUUACUGGAUGGAAACCAUAGGUGUAAUUUACCUAGUGGGUUACUUUACUGAGAAAUAAAUAUUUCUUUACUUAA